UGAACCUCCAUAACAUUUAUAUUGCAGACCCAUCUGAGCCUUGAGUAUGGGUUCCUUUGAGAGAAGAAUCCUGUGAUUCAUUGGCUUGAAGCAGGAUGAACGGCUAUGAAUUUGAAGAUCUGUGGAAAGGCCACAGGGUCACUGGCUUCAUUGCUGCUGUUGCUUACAAUGUCUCCUAUUUACAUAUGAACUCACUGAGAAUGGCACACAGAGAGUGGCGUGGGGCCACAUAUGUGAAAAUCCUGCAAGCCGAAAGCUAUCACAUUCUACCUUUCAGCUUUCCCUCUCUAGACUUCUUUCCCCACCAGAGGAAACAGAGCACUGAGGAAAAUAAAGGUCAUAUUUGUGGGCAUGGAACAAGAGUAAUUUGGAGAUGCUGUUUCUCAGUGAAGUUGGCACUAAGAAGGACACUGAGUACUCAGGCAGGCUCUCAUGAUCUGUACAGGGAGUGAAAGUGGGAGUGUCAGAAGGAGAACAGAGCUUAGAGAGCUCAACAGAGAUCAAAUGUGCUUGUCCUUAUUGAUUUCUGCAGGUACAUGAAUGAAUGACAGGGCAGAAACUGAAGUCACGUGGGAGAGACACUGGGACCAGAGCUCACAGGCACCUGGAAGAGACAUGUGCAAGGGCAGUGUCUCAGGACAGGCUUCCAGAGUGAGUUAGUGGGGGACUCAGAAACUCUGUUUGAUAGCUUCUGUUUCCCCUCUUGGCUGAGUGACUAAGAGCAAGGGCAAGACAUAGAAUGUAACCCUAACUUGGGCAGACUCCAAUCCGGGGACAAUUCUAUCAGUCUCCCUGAGAGCCUCUCUGCUGGUGCCGUCAAGGAGCUGACCUCCUCAACAAAGUGAAUGUCAAGGACCCAAGGAUUGACUGCAUCUACCUCUUGGUCGUGAUGUAUGAGUUAAUACAUAAAGCCAAUAAAUAUCAACUAUUUUAUUCA